UUAGCCGCGUCUAUUAACUAUAUAAAAAAGAGAAGCCAGUGCGUAAUUUAGAACUCAACCGACCGUCGGAAUUUCUACGCUAUCGACCGUCGGAAUUUAUGUUGAACUUUUAAGAGCUUGUUGGCUUCCCAUUGGGGAAUCGGAAAAUCUUUUAGACGUGGACUCUGAAAACAUCAUAGUUAAGUGAACAACGAUGGCAAGUCGUGCUUUCAUACAGUUUUAAUUGUUUAGACUAAUUGCACCAGCGAAGUUGUCGGUGGCUUGCACAAAAGCAAACCCGUUGGAGUGGUCAAGAAGGUUAUCGACGAAAAAUUCAUCAACUGAGGACUGUUGGUGGGCUGCUUCCAAGGCUGUUUUUCAAUGCCUGUUAAAAGGCCAAAAAGAGAAACAGAUGGGUAUUUACAGGAAAGAAAUCCCUUUAUAGUAGAUAGUCCUAGCAUAGCAUAAUUCAUUUAUUAUUCACCGCAAUCGAAUCCCUACAUUAUUAUUUACCGCAUAACAGUUUUUACAUUGUUAUCGCUGCUUAAACAUUCCCUGUAUGAUUACUUUUACCAAAUAAUGUCUUACUAUUUUGUAUUGCAAUUUUGUGACAUUACUGAAGAAAGGGAGAGUGAUAUAGGGUGCUUUAUCUUUUGUUACAACACUUUGUGACUGCCUCGUGGAGUAUAUUCUUCUGUAGAUACUGAGGACCAUGUCAAUAAAUGUCUAUCCCUUUUGCGUAGUCGAGGAUUAUGAUCUUUUGUUUUAAGUGUAGGUUAAGAGAGGAGUGGCUUGACUAAUUGCCACAAAAAAAAGAAAAACAUGUCAGUUUUUCAUUUUUGUUCCAUGUUAGAUGUGCAAUCAACUUGCAAGAAAUAAUGUGCAGCAUUUAACUCCCUUCGUUGGCAACAUUGAUAGUGAACCUGUUUAUCUGAUAAAGCUAUUUUGAAGUGUUUUUCAAGAAUCUCUUAUGGUGACUAGUUGAUUUUUAAUGGUACUUGUAGGAUUGGCGCUCCAUUCUUCUCUUUGUUGAGGAUACUGUCACGAAUCUUUGGACUGAGAGAGAUUCGAUCUUCAACAGAAUAUUCUGUUGGAAAGUUCUUCUGAAAAGCACGACACCGUGUCCAGAUUCAUCUCUCAGACAGAAUUUCGAAGUUGGUCAAUUCAUUGAUCUCUUGAUCAUUGCACAGUUUGUGUAAACUGGAAAUCCAGAAACUCAGAGCAACUCCUUUCAUCCAAUGCAGAAACUAGAGCUUUAAGGGAACUGUAGCAUUCUGCAAAAGCUAUCUUCUCAGAGCUUCCACAGCAGUCAUACCAUCAGUGCGAUCAAUCUACCGCCCAAAGUUGUGGUGACAAUGUAUUCUGAUGAAAGUUCAAGUGUGAAAAUUAAACUUGUUAACAUGUGGAAAAGCUAAUAAAAAACUCAACGGGGUACUCAAGUACCUGCUAUGGGGAGUCAAAAGAAGUCCUGAGAGGGUCUUGUAUUCUCUGGAAGAGUCUCUGCUAAGAAUCUCCCUUGUGCAUCCUAGUGUCUCCUACAAAUUUGUUGAUAUUGAAAGUGAAGAUGACCUGCUAUGCACACGUGCUUCUCCUUCUCCAUUGCUGCCAUUAUCCAGUGGGUUUUGAAGUGAUCUGAGUACCCAUUGAAUGCAAGUGAUGGUUCAUUCAAACUCUGAAGAUACAUCUCAGAAUUUGCACCAACAAAAAACUCAAAGUAUCUUAUAUUCUUGGACAAAAUGGAGGAGCCUCUGUCCAGAGAUUACAAUGCAGAGCGCUCCUGGAACUAGUGUUAAGAAUCAGAAUAAUAUACUCGAUGGCACUUCUGGUAUCUUGCAUCUUGUUGGUGCUUGAUGGGUUCCUGAUAUCAUUGAUAAAAACUGCCUGGUGGAGGAUUCCAAAGUUCUUUAACAUGUUGAUAAGAAGUUUAUUACGCUUGUAGACGGAAGAACACUUGCUAUAAUUGAUCAGUUCAUGCCUGAAAUCGGUUACCAAUUAUUACACAAUUAUGCUGACCAUUCGAAACUGUGGUUGUGGUUGGAUCUGCAACAUUUAUUCUCUAGCCUCAAGAUUAUUUACCAGCAUUCAUUGAAGUUUAACCUAACUCUAGCAUGAAAUGAUAUGUUUUGGUUAAAGCGGGAGCUUAAAUCUGAUUCACAAGCAACCAACAUAUGUUACACUCCUCAGGGGUAUGUUCAUGUCUAACUGUGGAAAACAAAGCAUGAUGACUUCUCAGUCUACUUAUUCCAUUCUGCGGAAAGUUCAAGAACUUAUGUUGGAAUUCAAGAACCCGACUUUUGCAUAAUUGAAUUCAAGAACUCAACUUUUGCAUAAUUGAAUUCAAGAACUCGACUUCUGCAUGAUGAUUUUUACAAGAAAAAAUCAAGAAGUUGUUGGUAUUCCCCUAAACCCUAAGUCAAUCAUCCGUUGAUCUAUUUAUUGUUAUCCUACUGCUCUUACCAUUAUCUUGAUGUUCUUGUAUUAAAAGUUGCACAUUGGAAUUCAACAACUCGAUUUUGCAUGUUGGAUUUUUAAUAAAAGUUGAAGAACUUUUUGGCUUUGAAAGAAAAUUCAAAUAUUCAUUUUUUAUAAAGUAAGUUAUGUUGUCAUCCUCUCAAUGUCUGUUAAGGAUGUUCAAGAAUUUGUUUCCCCUGCUUAACUGACAAACAGGAACUUGUUUUGAAUGAAGACACUGAAUUGUAGACUUAAAACACCCUCACUGGCCCUUUUCCUUUACAAGGUCUGGACUUUUUGACUUUGAUUAUUUCUUAAAAAACAGAAAAUUGUUUUUUUGAGAAAAAAAAACAAUUUUCUAUUUUUUAAGAAAAAUAGAAAAUUGUGUUACGUAAGCAAAUGGGUAGUAUCCAUUAGGAUAGGUAUAAAACAACUAACGCGGUCUUUGUUGUCCUUGAAGGCCCCACUCACAUAAUUACUGGCUCCUUUUCUUUACAAAGUCUAGACUUUUUGACUUAGAUUAUUUCUUAAAAAUGGAAAAUUUUGCUAGGUAAGAGAAUGAGUAGUAUCCAUUAGGAUAGGUAUAAAACUACUAAAUUGGUCUUUGUUGUCCUUGAAGGCCCCACUCACAUAAUUACGGAGAUGAGAUAUAUUUGUUAUUGAUCAUUACUAUAUGUAGAGAUGUUUGAUAAUUUAUUCUUACUGAAGUUGAGUUGGAACAUACAUAUUGGUGUUCAAGUACUUUACUUAUGGAGACAGUAUGUGUGUCUCUUUCUUUCAUAUUCUUUUAUGCUUCCUUUUUGUCUGACCAUUCUAACCAUGUUUUCAAAUGCUUCCUUUACACCAGCGACAGAAAAAACAGCCGAUAUGCAUGCUUUGCCAGCAAGCUUUGACUUUAAAGCAGAGGGUUUGAGCUCUAUUUCCGACAUUUUUUUUGUUGGAAAUUGUUACUAAAAAGGCUCACGGGAGGCCUAAUAGAUAUCGUAGAAAAGUUUUAACUAUCAAUGAUGACAGGAAAAGUGUGCAACUAGUUAAUAUUCCUUUCCAUUGUCCAGAAACUGCAUCAUUUUCUACACUUUGUUUCCCUAACAACCAUGGCUUAAUUUGCAGGUCCUUCGGUAUUUCUUCAUCAACUUAUUUCAGUAUGUUGUCCUGGCAAAAGAAACAGAAACCUAAACUUUGGUUAAUAUUUACUAAUAUCGGAUGCUUGUUUUUUUUUCUGUUUUUGUUUUCCUUGGCCUUGGUAAUGCAAAUAUCAAUUCUAGAUUUUUUCCAGAAGAUCAAUAAUUAAAUUACUUCAUGACAUAGCUGUGUGUUUUGACAGUGCUUCUGACAUUGAGAAGCAAAGUAGAUAUCAGAUAUAUCCGCUGUUUUUGUUGAACCUAAACUGUCCAUGAUCUUUAUAUGACUCAACUUUGGAAUCCUUCAAAUACCUCUGAGCAAUUUAAGGUGAGAUAUUUUGUUGGUAUUUAUGUUUUAGUUUGUUUCUGGGUUGAGAAACGAAUGUGGGUCUUGUCUUUGGAUUUGUUUUUAUUGAAUCCUGUUUGUGUUGGGGUUUGUUUUGAGAGAAUUGGUUUGGGCUGUUUUCUGUUUAAAAAAAUUGAAAAGACCUCAUCAAUUUUUUGAAACUUUAAUAUGGGUGAAAUUUAUAUGUUAAAACUGGCUAUACAUCAUUAUUUAUUACUAUCCGUAUAAGAUUUCAAAGUAUCAUAGAGGAGCCCCUGACAGGCAAGGCCCUUCCUUCACAGCUGUUCCUGGAGAACAAUUCAAAACCACGUUUCUAGCUUCUGUUGGUUGCAAAACUGAACAGGCCAAUGAUCUCAAUUUUGAGGUUUUUUUUAAAGAGGUAGGGGACUUGAUCAGCUGAUGUUUAUGGGUCAGGUCUUUCUGAAUUAUAUUAUAUGAUGGUGAUGCUUGGUCACAUAUACAUUCAUAGUGAAGAAAAUCUUAAUAAUUAUUUAAAACCACAGCUAUUCUCUCCUCUAAGUUGGAUGGGACUCGCAUAAAUAAAUAAAAUAAAAAAAUUUCCUUCAAUGUAGAUAGUCCCUGCGUUGCAUUAUAUUAUUCACCGUGUAAUAAUCCCCACACGUUUAUUUACCACAUAACAGUUUUUACAUUACUAUAACUGAAUAAGUAAUACUUUAAUCAAAUAAUGUCUUACUCUCUGGUAUUGCAAUUUUGUGAUAUUACUAAGUAAAGAAGAAAGAUAUAGUGUGAUUAUCUUUUGCUUCAUCUUUUUGUGACUGUCUGGCGGAGUAUAUUCUUGUGUAGAAACUGAGGCCUAUGUCUAAAUAAAUGUUGUCCCUUUUUACAUAGGCAAGGAUUGUUAUCUUUUGUUUGAUUCUAGCAUUUAUCUCUGUUGAACAUUAUCUUUUUUCGAGAACCGCCUACAGUUCCAACUAAAAAGAACUAAAAGUGUGAAAUAAUUUUUUUUUCAUUAUCUCAGUUGAAGUACUGAGCCUCCCGAUAUCGGGAGACUCAGUACUUCAACUAGUCUCCAUGUUCCUCGAAUAGAUCUCUUAGUUGUUGAGAAGGUUGCCAACCGCACAAGCCUGGGCUGGGCCUACCUCCAUCCCUAGAGGAGCCGUAUGAGGCGGAAGCUCCACGUACGGUUAUGAAGCCGAGCCUUUCCAGCAAUGGGGCCUAGGGACCGAUAUGAUAAUUGGUUUAGGAUAUCCUUUUAUUAGGGGGUGUUAUGCAUAGAGCUCAAGAAAUAUACACUCAUUGUCAUGUAUUACAGCAUGCUGCAGAUGAGCGAAUAUUCGUUUGGAUGAACUGCACGAGAAGGUCCUAUCUGGAAAAAUGAAGAUAACAACCUAUCUUGAUUCUGAGCAAGGAUUGGUGCGUUAUUUUGAUAAAAGCUAUGCUGGCCAAAUUCAAAACAGGGUUUGGAUCUGCAACAUAUAUUAUUAAGCUUCAAGAUCAUUUACCAGAAAUUCCAUUGCACUAAAUCGCAACAUUUAUUGAAGUCAAACGUAAUUCUGAUUCACAAGCAGCCAACAUCUGUCACACUUCUUGCGGAUUGGUUGCUCACCUACAUUCUCAAAGCUUUUACUGAACUUCAUAGCUUAUUCUCUUCAACAUUCGUAUUCCUCCCUCUGAAGGAUAUAUUUCUGUCUAAGAGCACUUCUAUUCUGAGCUUACUGAUACAGAUGGAUCAUCAAUAGUACCCCCAUCAGUGAACUGGGUUCUGAAUAACAAGGCGGGAGUACAAUAAUGUUUGAAGACGCAUUGUUUCCUUGAGAAUGUUCUCUCAUUGUUGAGGAAAAUUGCAUUUCAGGUGUUGGAACUGCAUUUGAUGUUAUUUUUAAGAGAGAAUUCCAUAUCAUUAAUAGCAUGUUUUCAUCCAUUAGUGUGCUCAUGGGCAAGCGACUACUGUCCCUCUUGCCAACUUGGGUACUCUGCAUGAGCAGAUUGCUAAGUUAGGUUCGUGGAGUAGGAGUUCCUCUGAGGCCUGUCAUGGAUUGCGUUGGCAUGAAACCAACUUAGAGCUCUCAUGAGUAUACCUACCAAGCAAUCAUUUCGAGCUGAAAUCAGAGAUCCAGCCAAUCAUCUUAUUGACAAGUUCACCUGAUGGACGGUUGAUUAGUUCAUUAUAUUCAAAAUUUUACUGGAAUUUUGAUUAGAUUUGCAUCACAUUGCAAGGAGAUAGCGCUUUCAACAUGAAUUUUUCUAUUUCUAGGACUUGAAUUAGAAAACUCUUAAUUAAGGACGAAGAAAUCUCACCACUGCACCUAUUGAUAAUUCCUUAAAGACUUUGUUGUCUCGUGUAAAACACAUAAUUUUAACUAGUUAAUUUAUUUUCUUACAAUU